rnacentral:rRNA from 1 species
UGCUGGGGGAUUAGUGGCGAACGGGUGAGUAACACGUGAGUAACCUGCCCUUGACUCUGGGAUAAGCCUGGGAAACUGGGUCUAAUACCGGAUACGACCAUCUGGCGCAUGUCAUGGUGGUGGAAAGCUUUUGUGGUUUUGGAUGGACUCGCGGCCUAUCAGCUUGUUGGUGGGGUAAUGGCCUACCAAGGCGACGACGGGUAGCCGGCCUGAGAGGGUGACCGGCCACACUGGGACUGAGACACGGCCCAGACUCCUACGGGAGGCAGCAGUGGGGAAUAUUGCACAAUGGGCGCAAGCCUGAUGCAGCGACGCCGCGUGAGGGAUGACGGCCUUCGGGUUGUAAACCUCUUUCAGUAGGGAAGAAGCGAAAGUGACGGUACCUGCAGAAGAAGCGCCGGCUAACUACGUGCCAGCAGCCGCGGUAAUACGUAGGGCGCAAGCGUUAUCCGGAAUUAUUGGGCGUAAAGAGCUCGUAGGCGGUUUGUCGCGUCUGCUGUGAAAGACCGGGGCUCAACUCCGGUUCUGCAGUGGGUACGGGCAGACUAGAGUGCAGUAGGGGAGACUGGAAUUCCUGGUGUAGCGGUGAAAUGCGCAGAUAUCAGGAGGAACACCGAUGGCGAAGGCAGGUCUCUGGGCUGUAACUGACGCUGAGGAGCGAAAGCAUGGGGAGCGAACAGGAUUAGAUACCCUGGUAGUCCAUGCCGUAAACGUUGGGCACUAGGUGUGGGGGACAUUCCACGUUUUCCGCGCCGUAGCUAACGCAUUAAGUGCCCCGCCUGGGGAGUACGGCCGCAAGGCUAAAACUCAAAGGAAU